rnacentral:lncRNA from 1 species
UUAUAAUGAAAUGCCUAGCAAACAGAAUAAGGAUAGAAUCUUAUAAGCCACAAGAGAGAGAAAUCAGAUCACAUAUAGGGGGGGGACCAAUUUGUAUCUCAGCAGAUUUUUCAACCCAGACCCUCAAAUCCAGGAGGUUGUGGAACAACAUAUACCAUGCACUGAAAGAAAAUGGAUGCCAACCAAGAAUCUUGUAUCCAGCAAAACUAAGCUUUGGAUUUGAUGAUGAAAUAAAAACCUUCCAUGAUAAACAAAAGUUAAAAGAAUUUACUACUAGAAAGCCUUCACUACAGAACAUCGUCAGCAAAAUGUACCCUUUCUUGAACCCAUGAAGUUGGGUGUUUAAAGACAUGAGGCCUUUGUCAGGUCCCAGAGAGGGGAUGUUUCUUUGGGUUGUUCUUUCCCAGAGCUUCUACCCACCCUCCUUCCCACCCUGUUAUAAUCUGGUAACUAAUAACUUUUCAGUCAGUCAACAUAGAUUAUUUUUGAGGCUUACAUUUUUACAAUUUUCAUAAUGGAUGAUAUUUAGAUAUUUAUUUUAAUGUCAGCAUACAUUUAAAAACCCUGCCAUCUCAAAUCCCGAAAGUAGAGAUUGACAGACAUUUCUAAUAUUUAUUUAUAGAGCUCCAGUGUUUGUACAGUAUCCUGAAAACCAAAGGCAUUGAUUAGGUUUAUAGAAAUUGCAAUAAGUCUCAGCCAUACUAAAUUGGAUUGAAUACUGUAACUUGUUUUAGUCAUUGAAAGACGCAAUUAUUUCCAGAUAUAUAUGUCUGCCACUGCCUGUCAUUCUUGAGUUAGUAUCUUGCUUCCACUUCCUGUCCUCUCUAUCCCCAGAACUCCUCUUUAAAUCUUCCUGGCUCUUGCUUUCAUCCUCUGGCUGUCUACCCGCCAUAAUGCAGUGUGGUUCAGAAGUAAGACCACCAGGUCGUGUCAGCAUGUGGUGUGAUUUUCAAGGUGGCUAAACUAGGGGUUUUGAUUAAGGACAUCAAAGUCUCACAAAUUAGGUGGGAUUGAAGGGCAGUCUCUCAGGCUCAUCCUUUCUCUGCUGCUCCUGACUUUGCCUGCCUGCUGCACUGAGCACCUCUCAAACCUGGGAGAGCAUGGAUGCCAGCACGCAGGAUGUGUGUGCCUGCAUGUACAUGUGGGACGGCCCUUUUCUGAAGAUCUUCACUUUUGCCCUGUCCUGGUAUAUAUUUCCUCUUUUCUUUGAGCUCCC